CCUACGGGAGGCAGCAGUGAGGAAUAUUGGUCAAUGGACGAGAGUCUGAACCAGCCAAGUAGCGUGAAGGAUGACUGCCCUAUGGGUUGUAAACUUCUUUUAUAUGGGAAUAAAACGUUCCACGUGUGGGAUUUUGUAUGUACCAUAUGAAUAAGGAUCGGCUAACUCCGUGCCAGCAGCCGCGGUAAUACGGAGGAUCCGAGCGUUAUCCGGAUUUAUUGGGUUUAAAGGGAGCGUAGGUGGAUUGUUAAGUCAGUUGUGAAAGUUUGCGGCUCAACCGUAAAAGUGCAGUUGAAACUGGCAGUCUUGAGUACAGUAGAGGUAGGCGGAAUUCGUGGUGUAGCGGUGAAAUGCUUAGAUAUCACGAAGAACUCCGAUUGCGAAGGCAGUUCACUGGACUGCAACUGACACUGAGGCUCGAAAGUGUGGGUAUCAAACAGGAUUAGAUACCCGUGUAGUC
rnacentral:rRNA from 1 species